AUAUGUACCGGCCUGUCUAAAACUAGCUAGAGUGGAAGAGGAGGAAAUAUGAGGGUGAAGUAGAGACAAAAUAUAUAUUUCCCCAUCUGGAGUACUAAAGGAACGCAUUCAGAGAGAGGACCUUUUUGUGCUGAAUCUAGAGGGAGAAGAGCUGGAUGUACCGCCACCCUACAAGAAGCUACAUAGGAGUUCAUGCACCCCAAACUUCCUGAAUGCCUACACACUUCGAAAGGCCGGCUCAGUGAUGCACAUUCACUCGAGGAAUGCCGUGCUGGCUACACUGCUCUACCCAGGCAGCGAAAUCCGCCUCACUCACCUGCAGAUGAUCAAGGGCAUCCAUAACCCGACGACGGGGGUAAAUUUCAACUACGACCAUGAAAUCGUGAUUCCGGUGAUUGAGAACACGAGGGAGGAAGUCGGCUU